GUCUACAGCCAUGCCACCACCCUGAACAAGCCCGAUGUCUGAUCUCGGAAGCUAAGCAAGGUCAGGCCUGGUUAGUACUUGGAUGGGAGACCACCUAGGAAGACUGGGUGCUGUAGGCA
rnacentral:rRNA from 1 species